GCUCAGGAUUUUAUCCACACCUGACCUCAUCCCACCAUGUCUUUUGGAUGACUGUUCUGGUGCUUCCUCCUGGACAUCUUGCAGAAACUCAGCUCGAGGAAGUUCACUUCUGGUUCUCAUCUCCUCUGCUGUUCUCCCUGCUCAAAGAGGAGAAUGUGCAUUUACAUGCAUAGGUGUGAAAUGAACAGAAUCAUGAAGUCAGGCAGUUUGGAGAACAAAAACAGCAGCACAGCCUGGGCUGGUGGGAUAAGAGCGUACCAAGAAUGGAAAAAUGCUGGGUGCUAUUGGCAAUUCAACACAGGGUUGGAUUGUUAAGAAUGAGGUGGAAGCUACAAACAACUUAUUCAGACACUGUUACAAACAGCAGCAAUUGCAGAUUACAGCGACCUGAAAGAAAGCUGCGGACUGGAAGAGCAAGUACAGAAUGCAGAUCUCUGAUAUGCAGACUAAGGUGGAAGCAGUAAGUGAGGAAGACCUAUUGCGGUAUUCAUCCCUUCUGCUGUGUAAGAGGCAAAAUCUGAAAUCAGUGUAUUUCUUCAUAUUCUGAUACUGCCCUGAUGAGGCCAGUAUUUUGUCAAGGAACGAAAAUUAAAACAUUGAAGAAGAAAAAAGACCUGCAUUGAUGAUUUCAAAGCUAAGGAAAAUCGAGUUUAUUUAUAUCCCAGUAAACACACGAUGGCAGGCAACUCAUCACGGCCCAGUUUGCUGAGCUGCUUUCCACUGCUGUAACUUCUUCAAGUAGUUUUCUCCAUUGCAAAAGAGGAGGGGCUCCUGCGUAGUGAGCUGAAGUGAUGGACCGCCAGCUUCAGAGGAAGACACGUGAAAGAGGCGAGGACUUCCCGUAUAGCCU